CNGAACGAACGUAGCAGACCUAGAGAUGGA
rnacentral:piRNA from 1 species